rnacentral:rRNA from 1 species
UUGACCCUAAUUUUGGUCGUCGGGUACGCAAUCGCCGCCAGUUAAAUAGCUUGCAAAAUACGUGGCCUUAUGGUUACAGUAUGCCCAUCGCAGUUCGCUACACGCAGGACGCUUUUUCACGUUCUGGUUGGUUGUGGCCUGUUGAUGCUAAAGGUGAGCCGCUUAAAGCUACCAGUUAUAUGGCUGUUGGUUUCUAUGUGGCUAAAUA